UUAUAAGAGACAGCAGCCGCCGCGGUAAUACGAAGGGUGCAAGCGUUAAUCGGAAUUACUGGGCGUAAAGCGUGCGUAGGCGGUGAGUUAAGUCUGUUGUGAAAUCCCCGGGCUCAACCUGGGAAUGGCAAUGGAUACUGGCUCGCUAGAGUGUGAUAGAGGAUGGUGGAAUUCCCGGUGUAGCGGUGAAAUGCGUAGAGAUCGGGAGGAACAUCAGUGGCGAAGGCGGCCAUCUGGAUCAACACUGACGCUGAGGCACGAAAGCGUGGGGAGCAAACAGGAUUAGAUACCCCCGUAGUCCCUGUCUCUUAUAC
rnacentral:rRNA from 1 species